rnacentral:rRNA from 1 species
CAGUCGCCACGGGAAUACGGAGGGUGCAAGCGUUAAUCGGAAUUACUGGGCGUAAAGCGCACGCAGGCGGUCUGUCAAGUCGGAUGUGAAAUCCCCGGGCUCAACCUGGGAACUGCAUUCGAAACUGGCAGGCUAGAGUCUUGUAGAGGGGGGUAGAAUUCCAGGUGUAGCGGUGAAAUGCGUAGAGAUCUGGAGGAAUACCGGUGGCGAAGGCGGCCCCCUGGACAAAGACUGACGCUCAGGUGCGAAAGCGUGGGGAGCAAACAGGAUUAGAUACCCCAGUAGUCCCUGUCUCUUAUAA